CGGUGGUCCCACCUGACCCCAUGCCGAACUCAGAAGUGAAACGCCGUAGCGCCGAUGGUAGUGUGGGGACACCCCAUGUGAGAGUAGGACACCGCCAGAC
rnacentral:rRNA from 21 species